rnacentral:ncRNA from 2 species
CAAUGAAAUCCGUCCUGCGGACGGGUGAAAUCCUGCCGUGCAGGAUGCAAUACGCGCCGCGUGUGAAAUCGCUG